AUUGAACGCUGGCGGCAGGCCUAACACGUGCAAGUCGAGCGGCAGCGGAAAGUAGCUUGCUACUUUGCCGGCGAGCGGCGGACGGGUGAGUAAUGUCUGGGAAACUGCCUGAUGGAGGGGGAUAACUACUGGAAACGGUAGCUAAUACCGCAUAACGUCGCAAGACCAAAGAGGGGGACCUUCGGGCCUCUUGCCAUCAGAUGUGCCCAGAUGGGAUUAGCUAGUAGGUGGGGUAACGGCUCACCUAGGCGACGAUCCCUAGCUGGUCUGGGAGGAUGACCAGCCACACUGGAACUGAGACACGGUCCAGACUCCUACGGGAGGCAGCAGUGGGGAAUAUUGCACAAUGGGCGCAAGCCUGAUGCAGCCAUGCCGCGUGUAUGAAGAAGGCCUUCGGGUUGUAAAGUACUUUCAGCGGGGAGGAAGGUGUUGAGGUUAAUAACCUCAGCAAUUGACGUUACCCGCAGAAGAAGCACCGGCUAACUCCGUGCCAGCAGCCGCAGUAA
rnacentral:rRNA from 1 species